ACUCAAAUGAAUUGACGGGGACUCGCACAAGCGGUGGAUCAUGUGGCUUAAUUCGUAGCUAAGCGAAGAACCUUACCAGGGCUAGAAACCAAGCUGCAUCCGACCCGAAAGGGACGGAGCCUUCGAGGGUGCUUGGCAGGUGAUGCAUGGUUGUCGUCAGUUCGUGGCUUGAGCUGUUCCCUUCAGUGGGGUAACGAACGCAACCCUCGUUGUCUGUUAUAUAUGUCAGGCGAGACUGCUCCCUCACGGGAGAGGAAGGUGGGGAUGACGCCAAAUCAGCAUGUCCCUUGAUGCCCUGGGCUGCACACGUGAUACAAUGGGUAGUACAGAAGGACGCAAUACCGUAAGGUGGAGCAAAUCCCAAAAACUACCCCCAGUACGGAUUGAGGUCUGCAACCGACCUCAUGAAGCCGGAAUCGCUAGUAAUCCUAGGUCAGCCAUACUAGGGUGAAUACGUUCUCGAGUCUUGUACACACCGCCCGU
rnacentral:rRNA from 1 species